AGGGAAGGAACGUUUCCACCCUUUCUCAGGAAAACGAAAGUUAUCAGAAUGUACAAUCUUCGAUAGACUUUCAGUAUUGACAGACAGAGAUUUGACUGCGCGAAGAAGAGUCGACAAAACGAUCGGCUACAUCAAGAUGAAGUGUCCUGGCUGUGGUCACCAAGUGGAAAAAUCGUCAAAAUUUUGCAGUGAAUGCGGGUUGAGGUUAGCUGCUCAAAUUUGCACCACAGGUGGGACCACUUCAGAGCAUCAAACAUCUGUGGUCCGUGAAGCAGAGCCCCAGAAGGAGGCUGCGCCACUGACGUGGGCAGGGAACAAGACCGACGCGCCUACGAAACACUCCAGUGAAGAACCAGGGGGCAAUGUCAAGAAAAAGAGUGGAGGCUCUUCCAGCGCUAUUGAGCUGAGCACUGACACACGUCAAGAGAAAGAUGAGUUGUCUGUCAGUGAGAGCUCUACUUCAGUGGUGGAUGACCCUCCUGUCAACACCACUACACCUACUGGCCCUCCUGUUAACACUGCCACACGUACUGGCCCUCCUGUCAACACUGCCACACCUACUGGUCCUCCUGUCAACACCACCACACCUACUGGCCCUCCUGUCAACACCGCCACACCUGCUGGCCCUCCUGUCAACACUGCCACACCUACUGGCCCUCCUGUCAACACCGCCACACCUACUGGCCCUCCUGUCAACACUGCCACACCUACUGGCCCUCCUGUCAACACCACCACACCUGCUGGCCCUCCUGUCAACACCACCACACCUACUGGCCCUCCUGUCAACACCACCACACCUACUGGCCCUCCUGUCAACAUUGCCACACCUACUGGCCCUCCUGUCAUCACCGCCACACCUACUGGCCCUCCAACCAUACCUAUAGCCUCUCCAAACCCAUCCCCACACCAGACACUGCCAGAAGACCAGGCCAAGGGUCCAUCGAAGGCAAACGUAGACGCACCAGUGAAUGAGCCAAACCAACCUAGUCCUACAUCAGUCACACAGGCCUCAUCCACACCCGAGACAGCUGAUCAGAACACAGGAGGACGUGCCUCAGACCCAACUCAACCAGCCAGUAAACUCUUGGAUGAGGAAGACCUGAAGGGGACGUCACACGGGUCAACGGAGCCAUCAAAAAGCCUUGAUGGUGAAGGCAACACAGAGGUUAGAGUUCUGAAUGAACUGAAGACCUCUAGUAACCAGACCGACGAGAAUAUAACAAAUGAAGCAAACUCAAAGAAGUGUGUUGACCAAUCCCAAGUAUCCCUUGGUGAUCAGAGGGGUUCUGACCCAACAGAUGAGCCAAACACUAGUCAAAAACAAUCUACUAGUCCAGCUCCCUCAGUAACACAGGAGGUGCCUGAGAAGACAUCUAAGAGAAAAGAUCAGAACAGAACAGAACCUGCCUCAGGUCCAAGUCAAUCAGUAGGGCAGUUGUCAUAUAAAGACGUUCUGGUGGGGACCUCUCAGGAGACGGGAGAUCUGUCCAGGAGGCAAGGGGUUGGCGACAGUAACUACAGAGACCAGAGCAGGAAAAAUGAAGCAAACUCACAGAACUUUGUUUUUGGAUCCCACAAGGCAGAGGUAAUACAUAUAUUUAUAUUCUGUUAUUAUUCAGCAUGUGGAAUGAACUGUGUUUUUGUUGUACU
ensembl:lncRNA